rnacentral:lncRNA from 1 species
UUCUCUUUCUUUCUUUCUUCCUUUCUUCCUUUCUUCCUUCCUCCCUGCCUUCCUGCCUUACUUCUUUUUCUUUCUUUCAUCCUUUUCCAUUCUUCCUCUCUCUCCCUCUCCUCUUUUCUUUCUUCUUCCUCUCCUUAUUUUAUGUGGGAUUAAGACCUGGAAUCUUUACAAUCGUAUUAAGAUCAAAGAAGCAAAACACUAGGUUUAGUAGGGCAAACCAAAUGUACAACUUUUUAGGCCUAUAUGUGUGUAUCUAUUAGGAAAAGUUCACUUCAUUAAUACCAGUAUGUAUUAAAAAUUGACAAUCAAUUUGAGAAAAGAACAAUAAUUUUUAAAAGGGA